CGCUAGAUGGCUACAGUAGGAGCCGUGGUAACCAAACAGACUCGCUAGAUGGCUACAGUAGGAGCCGUGGUAACCAAACAGACUCGCUAGAUGGCUACAGUAGGAGCCGUGGUAACCAAACAGACUCGCUAGAUGGCUACAGUAGGAGCCGUGGUAACCAAACAGACUCGCUAGUUUAGCUACAGUAGGAGCAGUGGUAACCAAACAGACUCGCUAGAUGGCUACAGUAGGAGCCGUGGUAACCAAACAGACUCGCUAGAUGGCUACAGUAGGAGCCGUGGUAACCAAACAGACUCGCUAGAUAUCUACAGUAGGAGCCGUGGUAACCAAACAGACUCGCUAGAUGGCUACAGUAGGAGCCGUGGUAACCAAACAGACUCGCUAGAUGGCUACAGUAGGAGCCGUGGUAACCAAACAGACUCGCUAGAUAUCUACAGUAGGAGCCGUGGUAACCAAACAGACUCGCUAGAUGGCUACAGUAGGAGCCGUGGUAACCAAACAGACUCGCUAGAUGGCUACAGUAGGAGCCGUGGUAACCAAACAGACUCGCUAGAUAUCUACAGUAGGAGCCGUGGUAACCAAACAGACUCGCUAGAUGGCUACAGUAGGAGCCGUGGUAACCAAACAGACUCGCUAGAUGGCUACAGUAGGAGCCGUGGUAACCAAACAGACUCGCUAGUUUAGCUACAGUAGGAGCCGUGGUAACCAAACAGACUCGCUAGUUUAGCUAACCAAACCAUCAUUCCUAGCUUGCUAUUAUGAAAAUCGAAUGUAACAAUGCCAAUAAUGUUUUCAAUUCGACUUUAGCUUUCAAAAGCAGCUCAAACAUAGAACAUGAACUAUUGAGUGCUCGCAGUUCACAUACGACGGCUCCUGUCUGCCAUGUUGGAAGACCAGCGCAUGAAUUCAUCCGACAACGGCAGAGUUGCUAACCCAAACUGCGUGAUAACGGUGCCUAAAACGAGUUGAUUCUUCACCACUCUCAUUUCCUGUGUGCUCUAUCUAACAAGGCAAGAAAGACAACGGGGAAAACACGUUUACAGAUUCCCCGCAAUCGUGAAACACCAUUGGUGACAGUGACACCAAUGAGAUAAGACUCAAGAACUGUCAGAAAAGCGAAGAAACCUUUUUGCCUGUCAAGAACUGAACCCAGACAGCUAUCAGUACACGGUCUGCUUCGAUCAUUUCAUCACUGCCAUGACCGUGAAGAAGGGAGACGCAAAUGGUACAGUGUGACGUCCAUACAGCCUGCAGGACAAUCUUGACCCAAAGACUCCAGUUCACCAGCGGACCUCUAGACCGGAUUCCCACUGUGAAGAUGAGCAACUCAGCAGCAUCAGAUUCUACCUUUACUACUUAGUCCUUUUCCAGAUAUGACAGGAGACAUCCCUCAGUUAGACUAGAUGGUUGUAAUAUGAUGUGGAUAUGACAGGAGACUCCCUCAGUUAGACUAGAUGGUUGUAAUAUGAUGUGGAUAUGACAGGAGACUCCCUCAGUUAGACUAGAUGGUUGUAAUAUGAUGUGGAUAUGACAGGAGACAUCCCUCAGUUAGACUAGAUGGUUGUAAUAUGAUGUGGAUAUGACAGGAGACAUCCCUUAGUUAGACUAGAUGGUUGUUAUAUGAUGUGGAUAUGACAGGAGACAUCCCUUAGUUGGGGAUACUGGAGGACUGGAGUUGGGCUGUUGGGGGUACUGGAGGACUGGAGUUGGGCUGUUGGGGGUACUGGAGGACUGGAGUUGGGCUGUUGGGGAUACUGGAGGACUGGAGUUGGGCCGUUGGGGGGUACUGGAGGACUGGAGAUGGGCUGUUGGGGGUACUGGAGGACGGAACCACUGCUGUAGGUAGAUGGCUGCAUUGGCGUUGCAUGCCAUUAACAGCUGCAAAAUGGGUUCACAUGGCUGAUAUCCUGAAAAGAAUUAUGACAAUCAAAUAAAACUAAUUGGAGAGCUUAUGCCUGAACAAAAAGGUCAUGUUCAUUUAAGAAUACAACACAAAAACAUCAGAGAGAUUUCCCUCUUUAUUGCAGGAUUGGGAUCCAGCAGCAUACCACCCUGCAUACCACUACUGGCUUGCUUCUGAAGCUAAGCAGGGUUGGUCCUGGUCAGUCCCUGGAUGGGAGACCAGAUGCUGCUGGAAGUGGUGUUGGAGUGCCAGUAGGAAGCACUCUUUCCUCUGGUCUAAAAAAUAUCCCAAUGCCCCAGGGCAGUGAUUGGGGACACUGUCCUGUGUAGGGUGGCGUCUUUCGGAUGGGACGUUAAACGGGUGUCCUGACUCUCUGAGGUCAUUAAAGAUCCCAUGGCACUUAUCGUAAGAGUAGGGGUGUUAACCCCGGUGUCCUGGCUAAAUUCCCAAUCUGGCCCUCAAACCAUCAUGGUCACCUAAUAAUCCCCAGUUUACAAUUGGCUCAUUCAUCCCCCUCCUCUCCCCUGUAACUAUUCCCCAGGUCGUUGCUGCAAAUGAGAACGUGUUCUCAGUCAACUUACCUGGUAAAAUAAAAUAAAAAUAAAAAAUCUGUGAUUAAUCAACAGACACGAGUUAAUCUUGAAAAAUAGUUUCGUUAACAAUUAAAACAAGUUUAAUUAAACACUUUAACUUCAAAGAAUCAACACUAUUUCGUAUCAUUUCAAAGUAUACAAAUAAGCGAACUCGUUGUAAAGGUUAGACAGUUUAUUAACAAGAAGACUAUUAUUACUAAAGCAGCAUUUCAGGAGAAGAAAAACCAGCCAAUACCAGAGGUGGUCAACCUCGCUCAGCUGCUCAUUGAUCUACUGGGGAGCAGACUUCUGUUCCAGCCCAGCAAUAGCACCUUGAUUAGGUUUGUUAGUGCUGGUCUGGAACACCCAGCAGGGGUGACCUGCUCCAGUUGUAAUAGCAAUAAAAGAAGCGUCUCUUUUUCAAAGACCCUGUCUUUUAAAGAUAAUUCGUAAACAUCUAAAUAACUUCCCAGAUCUUCAUUGUAAAGGGUUUAAACACUGUUUCCCUGCAGAUCUUCAUUGUAAAGGGUUUAAACACUGUAUCCCCAUGCUUGUUCAAUGAACCAUAAACAAUUAAAGAACAUGCACCUGUGGAACGGUCGUUAAGACACUAACAGCUUACAGACGGUAGGCAAUUAAGGUCACAGUUAUGAAAACGUGGGACACUAAAGAGACCUUUCUACUGACUCUGAAAAACACCAAAAGAAAGAUGCCCAGGGUCCCUGCUCAUCUGCGUGAACGUGCAGUAGGCAUGCUGCAAGGAGGCAUGAGGACUGCAGAUGUGGCCAGGGCAAUAAAUUGCAAUGUCCGUACUGUGAGACGCCUAAGACAGCGCUACAGAGAGUCAGGACGGACAGCUGAUCGUCCUCGCAGUUGCAGACCACGUGUAACAACACCUGCACAGGGGAAGCGACGGGGGAAGCGGGGUCAUGUCAUGACAACUUUUAUAAAAUGAUGAUAUGAAAAGAUAUACUUUCUGUGUGAACAUGUCCAAAUGAUCCAAUAGAUUAUAAUUUUCUGGUAAAAAGGUGGAUGACAAAGCCCCACCCACACACCUGCCUUUACACAAAGCCCCACCCACACACCUGCCUUUACACAAAGCCCCACACACACACCUGCCUUUACACAAAGCCCCAACCACACACCUGCCUUUACACAAAGCCCCACCCACACACCAGCCUUUACACAAAGCCCCACCCACACACCUGCCUUUACACAAAGCCCCACCCACACGCCCGCCUUUACAUAAAGCGCCACCCACACACCUGCCUUUACAUCAAGCCCCACCCACAACACCCGCCUUUACACAAAGCCUCGUCCACACACCUACCUUUACAUAAAGCCCCACCCACCCACACAUCUGCCUUCACACAAAGCCCCACCCACAAACCUGCCUUUACACAAAGCCCCACCCACCCACCUUCACACAAAGCCUCUUCCACACACACAUACAGUGCCUUGUGAAAGUAUUCAUACCCCUUGCCGGUUUUCCUAUUUUGUUGUAUUACAACCUGUAAUUUAAAUUGAUUUUUACUUGGAUUUCAUGUAAUGGACAUACACAAAAUAGUCCAAAUUGGUGAAGUGAAGAUAAAAAGAUAACUUGUUAAUAAAAAUUAAACAAAAUAAAAACAGAAAA